rnacentral:rRNA from 1 species
UACGGAGGAUGCGAGCGUUAUCCGGAUUUAUUGGGUUUAAAGGGUGCGUAGGCGGCACGCCAAGUCAGCGGUGAAAUUUUCGGGCUCAACCCGGACUGUGCCGUUGAAACUGGCGAGCUAGAGUGCACAAGAGGCAGGCGGAAUGCGUGGUGUAGCGGUGAAAUGCAUAGAUAUCACGCAGAACCCCGAUUGCGAAGGCAGCCUGCUAGGGUGAAACAGACGCUGAGGCACGAAAGCGUGGGUAUCGAACAGG